rnacentral:rRNA from 1 species
GGGGGAUAUUGCACAAUGGGCGCAAGCCUGAUGCAGCGACGCCGCGUGAGGGAUGACGGCUUUCGGGUUGUAAACCUCUUUCGCUACCGAACAAGGCUCUGCUUUUUGGUGGGGUUGAGGGUAGGUGGAUAAGAAGCGCCGGCUAACUACGUGCCAGCAGCCGCGGUAAUACGUAGGGCGCGAGCGUUGUCCGGAAUUAUUGGGCGUAAAGAGCUCGUAGGCGGCUUGUCGCGUCUGCUGUGAAAACGCGGGGCUUAACUCCGCGCGUGCAGUGGGUACGGGCAGGCUAGAGUGUGGUAGGGGUGAUUGGAAUUCCUGGUGUAGCGGUGGAAUGCGCAGAUAUCAGGAGGAACACCGAUGGCGAAGGCAGGUCACUGGGCCAUUACUGACGCUGAGGAGCGAAAGCAUGGGGAGCGAAC